GACGAACGCUGGCGGCGUGCUUAACACAUGCAAGUCGAACGGAAAGGCCCUGCUUUUGUGGGGUGCUCGAGUGGCGAACGGGUGAGUAACACGUGAGUAACCUGCCCUUGACUUUGGGAUAACUUCAGGAAACUGGGGCUAAUACCGGAUAGGAGCUCCUGCUGCAUGGUGGGGGUUGGAAAGUUUCGGCGGUUGGGGAUGGACUCGCGGCUUAUCAGCUUGUUGGUGGGGUAGUGGCUUACCAAGGCUUUGACGGGUAGCCGGCCUGAGAGGGUGACCGGCCACAUUGGGACGGAGAUACGGCCCAGACUCCUACGGGAGGCAGCAGUGGGGAAUAGUGCACAAUGGGCGGGAGCCUGAUGCAGCAACGCCGCGUGCGGGAUGACGGCCUGCGGGUUGUAAACCGCUUUCGCCUGUGACGAAGCGUGAGUGACGGUAAUGGGUAAAGAAGCACCGGCUAACUACGUG
rnacentral:rRNA from 1 species